UUCACUCAUGUAAACUGUGAAGUGGCACAGAUUUUGACGUAUACAUGGCGAUCAUGGCCAUAGCAGCAAGGGAUCUUUAACAUACCAACACCCAUCAUGAUGUAGGACCUCAAUUUUAAAGGUCAAAUCCAAAAGACCCAUGGCCUUCACUUUUAAUGCUGGGCACUUGACAAAGGAACAGUCACUCACCUAUGUUAAAUGUCCUAAGUUUGCACACAGCAUUCUCAGUACCCCUUCCUUGUCGUAAAAAUGGGGGCGGUCCUUUGGAUGAGACCACAAAAACGUAGGUCCCAUGUCACAGCAGGUGUGGCAUGAUAAAGAUCCCUCCCUGCUCAAAGGCCGCAAGCGACAAGCAUAGGCCUACAUUUUGCAGCCCUUCACAUGCAUUCAAAUGGUGAUGUCUCCAUAUGAGUGAAAGAUUCUCGAGAAGGACGUUUAACAAUAUACAAUCAAUCAAUCUAUCCACAGAGCAAUGGGAUAGAGAAUUGAAUCCUGGGCCUCCUAAUUGUGACUAUGCUACUGUGACCAGGAGCAAACUUUGAUAUCAGGCCCAAAAAUCAAAACCUAUGGGACUGGACUUCAAAGCUGAAUUUGAAAAAGCUAUAUACAGGCUUAUUCUCAUAUGUGAAAUCGGCUCAGCUUUAACAAACAACAGAUCUUGCUUUGUGAACUUUGAUUACUGCAAAAAAUGGAGUGCAGCUUUGAACAAAUGAUUCUUUUUCUAUCACAUUGUGAACCAAAAAGAUAAAUCUAAAGCAUAAAUACGAAUUUUGUCU